rnacentral:rRNA from 1 species
UACAGAGGGUGCGAGCGUUAAUCGGAAUUACUGGGCGUAAAGAGUGUGUAGGCGGUGCUCUAAGUUCGGUGUGAAAUCUCCCGCUUAACUGGGAGGGUGCGCCGGAAACUGGAGUGCUCGAGCGUGGGAGAGGAAAGCGGAAUUCCUGGUGUAGCGGUGGAAAUGCGUAGAUAUCAGGAGGAACACCUGCGGUGUAGACGGCUUUCUGGACCAUUGCUGACGCUGAGACACGAAAGCGUGGGUAGCAAACAGG